GGCAAGAUGGCUUCACUUCUCCUGCAAGACAGAGAAGAUGGGAAGCUGGAAAGGUGUAGGCAUCAUCUUGGGAGCCCGCUGGGGGCUUCGUGAUACCCCUUUGACUGUUGUCCUGUUGAAGUGGAGAUCCUGAAGACUGGGACAAAGGUUCGCUGUUGGAGACCCUUUCUCUCCAUCCUCCUCCUCCAAAAGGCACCUCGCCAUCAGCAGUGAAGAUAGACCGUCUCCCUCCUCCCAUCGGAAACCUACAGGAAUGAACACAAAUCUGUUAUUUUAACACAACGUGGGCACAAAGUGGUGUUUUCAUUCUGAAUAAAGCUGUGGGAAGCUGAAGAAUAGGGCCUUUUAUUUGCAGGAGAUACUCAAAGGAAGCAAGAUUGAACCAUAGGCCAGGGAAUAAGAAUAAAGUUGUUAGAGAUUUUGCAGCCUGUGGCCUGGGAGCUCCGCAAGUUCCCUGUCAGCUUAGAGCACUUUGCAUCAGAAUGCAUAAUUGCAUCUGUUAAUUACAUUUUUUAACCUAGUCCUCCAACAUAAAAUAAAUUCAUUUUCCUCUCACUUUUCAGACUGCUGGGGAGAGGAGACUCCUUUUUUCCUUUCAACUUAAUAAACAUGAUUGACAACAAAAAAAUGUAAUUUACUUUCUAUUACGACUGUAUAGUGGAGUCUGGAACACAUACUUGCAUUUUGUGGAUGAUUAUAAUGUAUAAUGUCUAAUCAUCGGCAAAAUAAAUGUACAUUAACAAUUACAUUCAUUCCCCAAAUUCUAAGGGCCCUAUUUUAGGAUUCUUGUAAGAAGUAGCUUGAAAGUGGCACAAAGAAAUGUUUAAAAAUACCCAGAGGCUAAGGACAUUUUAAGCACCACAUCUAAAGUGGCAGAGAUGGCAUUUCAAUAGUAAAAGCCAGCCACUGAAACCAGUACUGUUGACCUCUGGGCCUUCAAUCCCUGGACCAUAUUAAGAGGUUUGAGCUGGAAAUGCCUCAGUCUUUUGCCAAUAACUUUGAACCAGGAACCUUGGAGUUUCAAAUCUGCUAUUGCCUCACCAGACAGCUGCCUCAGCCUCUGCCCAAGGUCACAGAGAUUGUCAGUGGGACAACUAGCACUGAUACCCUGGUUUACUUGGAGAGGAGGUUAGAUAGUGGGGGGGAACCUGGAGAAUCUAUCCCCUCUUCCUUCUUUCUCUCUCUUUUGUCAUCCCUAGAAAAAUGGGUGAAAUUCCACCUUCCCCAUCUGGGUGGGGGCAGAGCACAGGAAAGAUGACUUUAACUGAGGCCCAGAGACCUA